GUUCUCGAGUUCUCUGCUCACCGCACGUGACCCGAGCCGCCAACCACCUGAUCGGCACGGCACGGCGGCCAGGGCACAGAGCUUCUGUCGCAUGAUCGGCGAUUGAUCGCAGUAUGUGGCGGGCAACAGGAUUGCAGGAAUCGAUUCAAUUCCAAAACCACAACCCGAAUUCAACUAUUGAAGGCAGGCAGGCAGGGGCUCAGUUUUGUUCUCACAUUGUCCAGCAGGCUACAGUACUACUUGUGCAGCUUCCAUUAACAUGUACUACCUGACUUCUGCAGCUUCC